UUUUUUUUUUUUUUUUAAGACAGGGUAUCACUGUGUCACCCAGGCUGGACUGCUGUGCCACAAUCAUAGCUCACUACAGCCUCCAACUCCUGGAUUCAAGCAAUCCUCUCAUCUCAGCCAGGCACACACCACACACAGCUAAUUUUUAAAGUUUUUGGAAGAUACAAGGUCUUGCUAAGUUGCCUGUAAGCCGAGAUUGUGCCACCACACUCCAGCCUGGGCAACAUCUAUAAACUGGCAUUCGCCAUAGUAACAAAGGAUAAAGAAAAUAUAAGAUUCAUCUUGGCCAGGCACAGUGGCUCAUGCCUGUAAUCCCAGCACUUUGGGAGGCCAACGUGGGCAGAUCACUUGAGGUCAGGAGCUUGAGACCAGCCUGGCCAAUAUAGCGAAACCCCAUCUCUACUAAAAACAAAACAAAACAAAAAAUUAGCUGGGUGUGGUGGCAGGCGCCUGUAGUCCCAGCUACUUGGGAGGCUGAAGCAGGGAACUGCUUGAACCCGGGGAAGCAGAGGUUGCAGUGAGCAGAGACAGUGCCACCGCACUCCAGGCUGGGUGACAGAGCGAGACUCUGUCUCACACACACACAUAAAAAAAUAGGUGGCCAAGCGUGGUGGCUCACACUUGUAAUCCCAGCACUUUGGGAGGCCAAGGCGGGCGGAUCACGAGGUCAGGAGAUCAAGACCAUACUGGCUAACACAGUGAAACCCUGUCUCUACUAAAAAAAUACAAAAAAUUAGCCGGGCGCNNNNNNNNNNACCUGUAAUCCCAGCACUUUAGCAGGCCAAGGCAGGCGUUCACCUGAGGUCGGGUGUUCAAGACCAGCCUGAGCAACAUGGAGAAACCCCGUCUCUACCAAAAAUACAAAAUUAGCGGUAUGUGGUGGCGCAGGCCAUAACCUCAGCUACUUAACAGCUACUUAGGAGGCUGAGGCAGGAGAAUCGCUUGACUUGGGAAGCAGAGGUUGUGGUGAGCCCAGAUAGUGCCACUGCACUCUAGCCUGGGUGACAAAAGCAAAACUCCAUCUCAAAACAAAAAAGAAGGAAAGAAAGAAAAAGGAAAAAGGAAGAAACAAAACUUAUUGUCUGCAGAUAAUAUAACUGUUGACAUAGAAAGUUCAAAGCAAAUACAUAUAACAUCACACUAUACCCCAUGAAUAUACACAACUGUUGUCAAUUUUAAAGAAAUACACACAACUGGAAAUUGUGAGAGGUUAGCAAGAUGACUGGUUAUACCAUAAAUAUAAACGUAUCAAAGUGAAUUUCUGUAUGCCAGCAACAAAUGGUUACAAAUAAUUUUUUAAAUAAUGUAGAGCUGGGCACAGUGGCUCACGCCUGUAAUCCUAGCACUUUGGGAGGCUGAGACAGGUGGACUGCUGGAGGUCAGGAGUUUAAGACCAGCUGAGACCAGCCUGGCCAACGUGGUGAAACCCGGUCUCCACUAAAAAUACCAAAAUUAGCUGCGCGUGGUGGCACAUGCCUGUAGUCCCAGCUACUUGGGAGGUUGAGCAGGAGAAUCGCUUGAACCCAGGAGAUGGAGGCUACAGUGAGCCAGGAUUGCACCACUACACUCCUGUCUAGGAAACAGAGUGAGACUCUGUGUCUAAAAAGAAGAAAGAAAAAAUUAUGCCUAACACAGUUCUUUAUCAAGAAGCCAUUCUUGAACAUUUCUAACAAGAACAAUGUUUUCCAUUUUCUCAUUAUGCCUUAUCUGCUGAUUUUCAUUUCUAUUACGUAUACAAGACAUCUUGCAUGAUAGUAUAUAUAAGAUGUCUUGUAAACGUGACAUGAUAUUAUAUAUAUGAUAUAUAUAUAUAUAUACGUGACAUGAUACAAGAUGUCAUGAUACUAUAUAUAUAUGGUUGUCCCUUGGUAUCUGCUGGGAAUUGGUUCCAGAAUCCACUCCCUCCACUGCAGAUACCAAAAUCUGAGGAUGCUCCAGUCCCUGAUAUAAAGGGGACAUGUAGUAUUUGCAUAUAACCUACACCCACCCACCCAUAUACUUUGAAUUCUUUCUGGAUUAUUUACAAUACCUAAUGCAGUGUAAAUGCAACAUAAAUAGUUGGUGCACUGUAUUGUUUAGGGAAUAAUGACAAGAAAAUAAAGUCUGUACAUGUCCAGUACAGAUGCAACCAUUGAUUUUUUCCCCUAAAUAUUUUCAAUCUGUGGCUUACUCCACAAACACGGAACCCUCAGAUACGGAAGGCUAACUGUACAGUAUUUUUCCAUUUUAAGCUCUGUUCCUAUAUUCUUAUACUCCUAGAAAACAACAUUUGGAUAGAUAACAUAAGGCUUACUCUUAAGACUCCUCUAUGAACAUCAUGCACUUGGCUUUCUCUUUAUCCAGUCUAUCUAUACAGGAGUUCAUCCUUAUCCCGUUUCAUUUUCUGCCAUUUCAAACACCUGUGGUACAAAAAUAUUACAAAGAAAACUGCAGAAAUAAACACUAAUUUUUGUUGUUUUAGAAACAGAGUCUUGCUAUGUCACCUAGGCUGGAGUGUACAGUGGUGUCAUCAUAGCUCACUGUAACCUCAAAACUCCUGGGCUCAAGAGAUCCUCACACCUUAAGCCUCCCAAGAAGCUAGGACUACAGAAGCAUGCCAUCAUGCCUUGCUGACUUUUUAAAUUUUUUUUAUAGAGAUGGUGGGGGGGAUGGGGGGUCCCACUACAUUGCCCAGGCUGGUCUUGAAUGCCUGGCCUCCAGCAAUCCUCCUGCCUCAAUCUCCCAAAGUGCCAGGAUUACACGCGUGAGCCACAACGUUUUGAACUGUGCACCAUUCUGAGUAGCCUGAUGAAAUCUCACCUGACCGGGUAGUGAAUCUCCCCUCGGUCUAAUGUAUUCACCUGUAUAAACUACCAGCCAUUUGUCACUUAGUAGCCAUCUCAGCUUUCAGAUUGUCAGACUGACUAUGGGGCAGGGCAAUGCUUGAGUUUUAAGUAACCCUUAUUUUACUUAAUGACAGUCCCUAAGUCCAAAAGUAGCAAUGACAGCUAUUUGGAUAUGCCAAAGAGAAGCUGUAAAUUGCUUAAAGGUGAAAGUUCUUGACUUAAUACGGAAUGAAAAAAAAUUGUAUGCGGAGGUUACAAAGAUCAAAUCUAUACAUGAAAUUGUGAAGGAAAAAAAUUCGUGAUAGUUUUGCUGUUGUACCUCAAACUGCAAACAUCACAGCCACAGUGCAUGACAAGUGAUUAGUUAAGAUGGAAAAGGCAUUAAAUUUGUGUGUGGAAGACACGGACAGAAGUAUGUUCUGACUGAUGACAAUUAUAUUCACUACUAUACAGGGUUUCAGGUAUCCACUGGAGAUCCUGGAAUGUAUCCCGCAAGAAUAAGGGGGGACUACUGUAUAUCCACUAAAAACAAAACAAAAACAGGCCGGGCGCGGUGGCUCAUGCCUGUAAUCCCAACAUUUUGGGAGGCCGAGGUGGGUGGAUCACGAGGUCAGGACUUCAAGACCAGCCUGACCAAUAUAGUGAAACCCUGUCUCUACUAAAAAUACAAAAAUUAGCCGGGCAUGGUGCUGCGCAGCUGUAGUCCCAGCUACUCCGGAGGCUGAGCAGGAGAAUCGCUUGAAGCCAGGAGACGGAGGCUGCCGUAGGCCGAGAUCACGCCACUGUACUCCAGCUUGGGCAACAGAGCAAGACUUCGUUUCAAAUCAAAAAAACAAAAACAACCCCCAAACCAUCUACCACUGCUUUCCUUCUGAUAUAUUUAGCAGUAAAGUUAAAAACAGUUAACAAUGAACACAUACUACACAGAAGCAAGCAUAGUCCUAAGCAUCU
rnacentral:lncRNA from 1 species